rnacentral:tRNA from 1 species
CUCCGCUUGGUGUAGUUGGUUUAUCACGUUCGACUGUAAUAGAAAUUGUUAUCGAAAGGUCCCUAGUUCGAUUCUGGGAGCGGAGA